CUCUUAUCAAGAGCUGGCUGAGGGAUUUGGCCCUGUGAAGCCCAGCAACCGACCGUAAUACCGUUGUGAGACGGGGCGCUGUAUGCGCCGGAAGAUUCCAUAAGGCACGGUGCUAAUUCCAACAGAAAGGAUACCUUUCUGAGAGAUAAGAG
rnacentral:ncRNA from 2 species